AUUGAACGCUGGCGGCAGGCCUAACACAUGCAAGUCGAACGAGUGGCGGACGGGUGAGUAAUGUCUGGGAAACUGCCUGAUGGAGGGGGAUAACUACUGGAAACGGUAGCUAAUACCGCAUACCAUCAGAUGUGCCCAGAUGGGAGUAGCUUGUUGGUGGGGUAACGGCUCAACAAGGCGACGAGCCCUAGCCGGUCUGAGCGGAUGACCAGCCACAGUGGAACGGGGAAACGGUCCAGACUCCAACGGUAGGCAGCAGUGGGGAAUAUUGCACAAUGGGCGAAAGCCUGAUGCAGCCAUGCGGCGUGUAGGAAGAAGGCCUUCGGGUUGUAAAGUACUUUCAGCGGGGAGUCGUUACCCGCAGAAGAAGCACCGGCUAACUCCGUGCCAGCCGCCGCGGUAAUAC
rnacentral:rRNA from 1 species